UAAGGAAUAUUGGACAAUGGGCGCAAGCCUGAUCCAGCCAUCCCGCGUGAGGGACGACGGUCCUCAGGAUUGUAAACCUCUUUUGGGUGAGACGAAUAGCCUGGACUUGUCCGGGUAUGACGGUAUCACCAGAAUAAGCGACGGCUAACUCCGUGCCAGCAGCCGCGGUAAUACGGGGGUCGCGAGCGUUAUCCGGAUUUACUGGGUUUAAAGGGUGCGUAGGCUGCUCGUUAAGUCUGUGGUGAAAGGCUGGGGCUCAACCCCGGGAGUGCCAUGGAUACUGGCGAGCUUGAGUGAAGUUUAGGCUGGCGGAAUGCGGCAUGUAGCGGUGAAAUGCUUAGAUAUGCCGUAGAACACCAAUUGCGAAGGCAGCUGGCUGGGCUUACACUGACGCUGAGGCACGAAAGCGUGGGGAGCGAACGGGAUUAGAUACCCCCGUAGUCC
rnacentral:rRNA from 1 species